UGAUGAUAGCCAUUCUGACAUGUGUGAGGUGAACUCUCAUUGUGGUUUUAAUUUGCAUCUCUGUGAUGAUUAAUGACUUUGAGCAUCUUUUCUUAUGUCUAUUGGCCAUCUGUAGGUCCUCUUUGGAGGAGUGUUUAUACAGGUCAUUUGCC